rnacentral:tRNA from 1 species
GCGCCUGUAGCUCAAUUGGAUAGAGCAUCGGACUUCGGAUCCGAAGGUUGUAGGUUCGAAUCCUACCGGGCGCGCCA